UUUUGAUUCGUUGAACAGAGACUUGAAUGUAUAUAACAUAAAGUGAUAGGACAACGAGUUAUUUAUGACAUCAUAGAAGUUAGUCUGGGGCUGUAGACGUCUUGUCACAGUUUGGCUCAGGAAGCCAGACUGGGUCCCUGGAGCCCUGGUGUCAUCUGGGACCGUCGUGGCCUUCCUCAGCCUCUCUGGGUCUACAUGUCCCAGUAGAGGCCAGACCUCUGGAACUGUUUCCAAGCUCCAAUCUUGAGAUCUGCCCUGGCCAGUCCACUCUCCGAGACUCAGCUCAAGGGUUAUCCCCAGAGUGAAGUCUUUCCUCGGCCCUCUGUGAUUGGUGCCAGUUCCUUGUGUUAGGAUGAGCAGGGGCUGGGGAAGCCAAGUUGCAGUCUACACGGUAUCGCUUUGAGUGGCAAAGAGGUGUUAUACGACUCGACUCUAGACCCCCCAAAUGAGAAUCUCCUGGGAGUGGAACCUACGUAUUUCCAUGAUUUCCACCAUUGAUUCUGAGGUUCACUAAGGACUGAGGAACCCCGGGGAACUUAGGACAGCUGAUUUCCAUCACUUGAACAAAACUCAAGCACCUGUGUUACUAAUGUUGGCAGGUACUAGGCGUACAAAAGACAGCAUUUAUUCUAAGAAAAGCAGGAUGGGAUGGAAGAAUGCCAAAUAAGGUUGAAAACAAGCUAAGAAAUUCAUCUUGUGUUCUGUAUGAUUGUAGUUCUUUUGUAUAAUUUUUAUAUUAGUACAUUCGGCAAG
rnacentral:lncRNA from 1 species